rnacentral:rRNA from 1 species
UACGGAGGGUGCAAGCGUUAUCCGGAUUCACUGGGUUUAAAGGGUGCGUAGGUGGGAAUGUAAGUCAGUGGUGAAAUCUCCGUGCUUAACAUGGAAACUGCCAUUGAUACUAUGUUUCUUGAAUUUUCCGGAGGUAAGCGGAAUAUGUCAUGUAGCGGUGAAAUGCUUAGAGAUUGGGAAGAACACCGGUGGCGAAAGCGCGCUGCUGGACCACAACUGACACUCACAGGACGAAAGCUAGGGGAGCGAAAGGG